GCGCCGGUGCUGUAAUGGCGUAGAGCAUUCCCGCCCGGUUAGAGGGAGGUGCGGGUUCGAGUCCCGCCUGGCGCU
rfam:Heligmosomoides polygyrus genome assembly, scaffold: HPBE_scaffold0001358